CUUCAGACAGGAGCCCUCACUCCCAGACUGCGGGAUCUGGCUGGAGCUACACUCCAACAGCUGUGUAGGCAUUAUAAAUCUCUCUCCUGGAGAUGAGGCACAGAGGCUCUCAAUGUGUCCUGCUAAUGGUAAAUCUGUCAGCACCCACAGCACCAGCUCUGGACUCUGAAAGCAUCAAGUGCAGUCUGUCUUUAAAUCUCCACCUUCAAGAAAAGUGGUCAUAUGCUUUCUUUUGAAUGUGAAAUCAGAAGUUCAGUUCCCUGAUGUAUCACCCCACAGAUGUAUGACUUCGAACAAUCACUUCAUCGCUUUUGAAUUCCUCGUUGUAGAAAAAUGAUUAUCAAAUUUUUCUUCUCUGCUGGAGACAAGGAUGAUGAAAUGAGAUCGUCUGUGGCUAUCAAUCAGAGUUUUAGUUGGCAACAACCUGUGGAUUGCUGAUAAAUCAGCUGUUCAGAAACAGGGAAAUCUGGUUUGUAGCACUUGCCGAUUUCCGUGGUGUAAAUACGUCCAUUGCAGCUGGUUUGAAGCCACCAACACGACGUCACGGAGCAAGGAGCUAGGAAGAGGAGUGAACGACUGGAUCUCCUCGGCUGGCCUGAGUGUCUCCAGCACAGCCCUGAAGACAACAGUCACCAACUCCGGCUAAUUUUAUCAGGAAAAAAAAAAAAAAAAGUACCCAAAGGAUAGGGGGUAGCUUGCAGAAUUUCCAGCUGGCAGCUCAGACUUGAAGUUCAGGCUGCCCAGAGUCACACCCCCGAAUCACCCCCAGAAACAGGUCAAUAGCGAAGAUGCUAUCGCUGCCCCCUCUGGCACAGCUCCAUCCUCACCAACAACUCCGGACACUGGCCAAGGCCACGAAAAGAGCAGACUUGGGAAACCACAGACCUGCUGCACGAGGCCUCGCCAGCCACGAGAAGGCACCAGGGAGGGCGUGGGUCCUGUUCCCUCCCACUGGGAGCUUCCCAUGUGAUCUCGGAAGGUGCAACUGAUUGGUGGAGCCAAGUCACAUGUCUGUGCACCUGCCAUGAGUGUAUUUGUUUAUGAAGCAGCUAGAACAAAUCACCAACAACCAGGUGGCUUAACACAACGGAAUUAUGUGUAGUUCUGGAGGCCUGAAGUUCAAAAUCACAGUGCCAGCAGUGCCAGCAGGGCUGCUCUUCCUCUAGAGAUUCUAGGGAAGAAAGGACUCUUCCCUGCCUCCUCUGGCUUCUGCUGGCUGCCACACUUGGAUCUGUGUCUUCCCUUGGCCUUGUCCUCGUCUCUCUCUGUGUCUCUUACAAGAACACUAACUGGGUUUAGGGUCCAUUUUGGAUCAACCCUGAAGAGCUCAUCUCAAGCUUAACUUACACCAGCAAAGACUGUUUCACCCAAUAAGGUCACGUUCACAGGUUCUGGGGUUUAGGACAUGGGCACCCCUUUUGGGGGCCACCAUUCAACCCACUAUAGUGUCUGUCCAGAUUUGUCCCAAGGGCCAUAGAUUGCCGACCCCUGAUCUAGAAACAUGGAGGAGCCCGGCACAAAGUGAGUGAGUGCUCAGUAAGUUGGCCUGAGUUUUCCCAUCCUUGGUGUCUUAGAAAUGUAUCGAACAUGGAUGACUGAGUCAGGGCAGAAAUUAGCAGAUUAGAACACAACUAAUGCUCUGUGACCCACACUCUUGGAUAAAUUAGACAGAGCUGAAGAAUUGUGGUGUCUGACAACAACAGAGUUCAAGUUUUUGAGAUGAGUUUUCCCUGUUUUAGAGCCAAGGGCUAGCUAAUGUGGUCUGAAUUCUAAUCCCUGGUGACAGCACCCCA